rnacentral:rRNA from 1 species
CAAUAGCGUAUAUUAAAGUUGUUGCAGUUAAAAAGCUCGUAGUUGGAUUUCUGAUCGAGACAUCAGGUCGGGUCCGAGAGGAUCAUGUACUUUGAUUUUGUUUUGAUCAUCCUUGGGGAGAGCAUUUCUGGCGUUCAGUUGUCGGGAUUGGGAUCCUCAUCGUUUACUGUGAAAAAAUUAGAGUGUUCAAAGCAGGCCUCGGCCUCUGAAUACAUUAGCAUGGAAUAAUAAGAUAGGACUUUGGUGGUCUAUUUUGUUGGUUUGCACGCCAAAGUAAUGAUUAAUAGGGAUAGUUGGGGGUAUUCGUAUUCAAUUGUCAGAGGUGAAAUUCUUGGAUUUAUGGAAGACGAACUACUGCGAAAGCAUUUACCAAGGAUGUUUUCAUUAA